UACGUAGGGGGCAAGCGUUGUCCGGAUUUAUUGGGCGUAAAGAGCGUGUAGGCGGCUAGAUAGGUCCGUUGUGAAAACUCGAGGCUCAACCUCGAGACGCCGGUGGAAACCAUCUAGCUAGAGUCCGGAAGAGGAGAAUGGAAUUCCCGGUGUAGCGGUGAAAUGCGCAGAUAUCGGGAAGAACACCCGUGGCGAAGGCGGUUCUCUGGGACGGUACUGACGCUGAGACGCGAAAGCGUGGGGAGCGAACAGG
rnacentral:rRNA from 1 species